UUAUGUCCCACCUAUGAUUGUUAGUUAUGGUAGUUACUGUAUGAUAUUAUUACAUAUUAUUGAUAUUAUUGCAUGCGAUUGUAUUUAUGUUUCUUAUGUUUAGAUAAUUAUUUAUGCUAUUGCUAUGUAUGCUAUUUAUGCUAUUUCUGCUGGAGUUAAUAAUAAUGCUCUAUUGUUAUUGUUUUAGUUUUUGUCUUUGUUUUUGUUUUACUGCUGUUUUUCCUUUUAUCCUAUGAGCCGAGGGUCGAUUGGAAACAGCUUCUCUGCCCUUUCGGGUAGGGGUAAGGCUCGUCUACAUAUUAC
rnacentral:lncRNA from 1 species